rnacentral:sRNA from 1 species
AAAUUAAAAUAGCCUUGCCAGACGUCAUAAUUAUUAAAACUAAAUGAAAUAAGGCCUAUUCCAAAUAAUUAUGACGUCUGGCAAGGCUAUUUUAAUUUCU